CAUGCAAGUCGAGCGGUAGCACAGAGAGCUUGCUCUCGGGUGACGAGCGGCGGACGGGUGAGUAAUGUCUGGGAAACUGCCUGAUGGAGGGGGAUAACUACUGGAAACGGUAGCUAAUACCGCAUAACGUCGCAAGACCAAAGUGGGGGACCUUCGGGCCUCAUGCCAUCAGAUGUGCCCAGAUGGGAUUAGCUGGUAGGUGGGGUAACGGCUCACCUAGGCGACGAUCCCUAGCUGGUCUGAGAGGAUGACCAGCCACACUGGAACUGAGACACGGUCCAGACUCCUACGGGAGGCAGCAGUGGGGAAUAUUGCACAAUGGGCGCAAGCCUGAUGCAGCCAUGCCGCGUGUGUGAAGAAGGCCUUCGGGUUGUAAAGCACUUUCAGCGGGGAGGAAGGCGGUGAGGUUAAUAACCUUGUCGAUUGACGUUACCCGCAGAAGAAGCACCGGCUAACUCCGUGCCAGCAGCCGCGGUAAUACGGAGGGUGCAAGCGUUAAUCGGAAUUACUGGGCGUAAAGCGCACGCAGGCGGUCUGUCAAGUCGGAUGUGAAAUCCCCGGGCUCAACCUGGGAACUGCAUUCGAAACUGGCAGGCUAGAGUCUUGUAGAGGGGGGUAGAAUUCCAGGUGUAGCGGUGAAAUGCGUAGAGAUCUGGAGGAAUACCGGUGGCGAAGGCGGCCCCCUGGACAAAGACUGACGCUCAGGUGCGAAAGCGUGGGGAGCAAACAGGAUUAGAUACCCUGGUAGUCCACGCUGUAAACGAUGUCGAUUUGGAGGUUGUGCCCUUGAGGCGUGGCUUCCGGAGCUAACGCGUUAAAUCGACCGCCUGGGGAGUACGGCCGCAAGGUUAAAACUCAAAUGAAUUGACGGGGGCCCGCACAAGCGGUGGAGCAUGUGGUUUAAUUCGAUGCAACGCGAAGAACCUUACCUGGUCUUGACAUCCACAGAACUUUCCAGAGAUGGAUUGGUGCCUUCGGGAACUGUGAGACAGGUGCUGCAUGGCUGUCGUCAGCUCGUGUUGUGAAAUGUUGGGUUAAGUCCCGCAACGAGCGCAACCCUUAUCCUUUGUUGCCAGCGGUUAGGCCGGGAACUCAAAGGAGACUGCCAGUGAUAAACUGGAGGAAGGUGGGGAUGACGUCAAGUCAUCAUGGCCCUUACGACCAGGGCUACACACGUGCUACAAUGGCAUAUACAAAGAGAAGCGACCUCGCGAGAGCAAGCGGACCUCAUAAAGUAUGUCGUAGUCCGGAUUGGAGUCUGCAACUCGACUCCAUGAAGUCGGAAUCGCUAGUAAUCGUAGAUCAGAAUGCUACGGUGAAUACGUUCCCGGGCCUUGUACACACCGCCCGUCACACCAUGGGAGUGGGUUGCAAAAGAAGUAGGUAGCUUAACCUUCGGAGGC
rnacentral:rRNA from 1 species